GCCAGACUCCUACGGGAGGCAGCAGUGGGGGAUAUUGCACAAUGGGGGGAACCCUGAUGCAGCGACGCCGCGUGGGUGAAGGAGCGCUUCGGCGCGUAAAGCCCUCUCGGCAGGGAAGAAGGAGGACGGUACCUGACUAAGAAGCCCCGGCUAACUACGUGCCAGCAGCCGCGGUAAUACGUAGGGGGCAAGCGUUAUCCGGAUUUACUGGGUGUAAAGGGGGCGCAGACGGCGGCGCAAGCCAGAUGUGAAAGCCCGGGGCUCAACUCCGGGACUGCAUUUGGAACUGUGUGGCUGGAGUGUCGGAGAGGCAGGGGGAAUUCCUAGUGUAGCGGUGAAAUGCGUAGAUAUUAGGAGGAACACCAGUGGCGAAGGCGGCCUGCUGGACGAUGACUGACGUUGAGGCUCGAAAGCGUGGGGAGCAAACAGGAUUAGAUACCCCCGUA
rnacentral:rRNA from 1 species